UACGUAGGGUGCGAGCGUUGUCCGGAAUUAUUGGGCGUAAAGAGCUCGUAGGCGGUGUGUCACGUCGGCCGUGAAAACCUGGGGCUUAACUCUGGGCGUGCGGUCGAUACGGGCAUGACUGGAGUUCGGUAGGGGAGACUGGAAUUCCUGGUGUAGCGGUGAAAUGCGCAGAUAUCAGGAGGAACACCGGUGGCGAAGGCGGGUCUCUGGGCCGAUACUGACGCUGAGGAGCGAAAGCGUGGGGAGCGAACAGG
rnacentral:rRNA from 1 species